ACCCGCACAAGCAGCGGAGCGUGUGGUUUAAUUCGUUGCUACACGAAGAACCUUACCUGGGUUUGACAUAUAGGUUGUAGGGAACUGAAAAGGGACCGACCCUUCGGGAGCCUAUACAGGUGUUGCAUGGCUGUCGUCAGCUCGUGUCGUGAGAUGUUCGGUUAAGUCCGCUAACGAGCGCAACCCUCGUCGUAUGUUAUAUGUGUCAUACGAGACUGCCGGUAAAAGCCGGAGGAAGGUGAGGAUGAUGUCAAGUCAGCAUGACCUUUAUAUCCAGGGCUACACACACGCUACAAUGGUCUGUACAAUGGGUAGCCAAGCCGCGAGGCGGAGCCAAUCCUGAAAGCAGGCCUCAGUUCAGAUUGCAGUCUGCAACUCGACUGCAUGAAGCCGGAGUUGCUAGUAACCGCAGGUCAGCAAUACUGCGGUGAAUACGUUCCCGGGUCUU
rnacentral:rRNA from 1 species